GGGAAGUGGAGGGUGGAGCGGGUGCAUGGGAAUGGCUCGUUCUCGUCCUCCACCGCCCAGCAGAUCUGGCAUAUCACCAACGUUAUGGCGGUAAUUGAUUCUCCCUGUGCCAUUAGUCUCCGAGACAAAGACGCGCCAACGAGAGGGGGUUCUGUCACUUAGAGACUGGCAUGGCGCCCGGCCGCACACUCGUACCAACACACAAAUAGACACACGCAAAGAUGUACUCGACUUACGGCGCGCACACACGCGCGUUCCUCAACGCAUCGUUGGUAUUACGUCGGCUGUCAAGGUCUGCAGAAGCAAAAGCUUUGCUCAAACAUCUCAAACAUUGUUAACGCUGAAAUCUACACACCAAAAAACAAAAAUCCAAAUCAAAGGGAAUACAAAUGAGUGGUGAUUUGGAUUUGAUAUUCCUCUCUGAUACUGUUGUGUUUGUGGGGUUACUGAGGUCGUGGCAGAACAGAAUUCCUCCAAGAGACACACACACACACACACACAGAGUUAACCCACACGCACACUUGAAUAUGAAAAGAGAUGCUCCCCAGACAAAGAGCGCCGCAUGUCUUUAUCUUAUUAAAGUUAACGAGAGGCUGCUGUCUUCUGCCUGCAGACCAGCCCGUUGCCCCCACCCUGCCGCAGCGCCUCCAGGCCCUCUGUCGUCACAACGGUAAUGUUGCCCCCCCCUCUUUCCCCCCCCCCUGGACGUCACAACGGCCAUUGAUGGAAAACAUGACGGUGCCCGCGUCAACGUCCUCGCAGUUGUCACACGAGUGCCAAACGUUGCACGCCGUCGCCAUGGCAAUUGUGUUUUGUCGUCCUCUCUGACGCCGCUGCUCAUCACCAUGGCCACGGCUGCAGCACCUGCGAUACACUGAGGAAAAUAGUGGGAACAAAAGAAGGUAACACCUAGAACACAAAACACACACACACAAUAAGGAGUGCAUCCAUUGAAUGCCAAUUAACCACAUGGAGGAUAAGCGAUCGGAGACAACAGCCCCUAACAGCUAAUUAAAGACACGACAGCAUACAAUCCAGGAUCACUCAGAUCCGCUCGCCCGCUGCAAGAUCAGUGUUCUACUGAAAGUCAAAAGGUGAGCUCUGCCUUUCAGCGUCCGCGCUAGAAGAAGGGCCGUAGACCGGUGGCGGCCCUCCAUCACUCCAGCGAACCGCGCUGCCGUGCCGUAUCUCGCUUUUCGAGGCCCGCUCCGACUUGGAUGCUCAUUUGGAGUCUGUAAUUAAUUGGAGCCCCUAUCUUUUUUUUUCAUCUAUUUUUGUUUGGCUGUUGACCGACGUGUGGUCCUCUCACGCGCUCGUCUUCAGGUCGACGCGGCUCCCUAAUUAAGACUCCAGAGGACGGCUAAUUGCUGCUGCGUGCCUCUCGGCGGAGCAAGGGAGCCUUCUCCCGGCGCUGCCCAGAAAGAGCGCCCGAGUUCAGAGUUAAAAGGGCUUACGUAAGCUUGCGGUGAAACUAUUAAACGCCAACCAACUUUUCCUCGUGAGGAACUGCCACUUGAUUUAAUGGGCCUCAUUAAAAGUGCACAUCACAGAGAUCCGAGCCGCCCGCUCCAGCUUCACACGACAAUGGCAUAAUGGUUCUGCCUCCAUGCUGUCAAAGCCUAAUCCUAAAUACUCAACGGUGCUAUUGCUCCUGCAGGACGAUCCAAAAUGGGCUGCGGCGUUCUGGAAAACGGAGGAUUCACAUCAUUUGUCUUUUUUUUUUGACAAGGGGCAGAGAGGAGGAAGUGAAGGAAUGUGAGCGGCGAACAGCUCGGCGUCGUUUAUCGGAGGAGUCAGAUGGAGGAAUCUAGAGCUGAGCGAGAAUACAUCCGGCAUAGAGCUGAAAUACGGUUUUCAUUGCAGUCCUUGAAACGUUUGAAUGAGCCCCUUCCGACGGGGCGAGAUCACAUACGUGUUUGCGUUGUUUAUCAGGAGACUGGCGUGGUUGAGAUCUGAUUAAAUGUCACAAAGUAAAUCCUCACAUCCAUCAAAAGAUCCACGUGUCCAUUUUAACAAUCUUCUACGAUUGCGCUGUGCGUGUUUCUUAGACAAUAUGACUUUAAGAUACUAUGUAAAAAAAAAAAAACGACGUCAUCUUGUGGUUGUAUCGUCUAUCGUGGUUUUAGGGUUAGGGUUAGGGUUUUGGCCACUGCUUUUAUUAACCACCAACCACCAAACAUUUGACGAACAUGCAGCUACAUAGUGAACAAAAUAAAGCUUUCACCAGUUAGUCAAUUCCGACUCAAGUGGUCUCAUCGCACAGCGGUUUCUACCUAAAGUAUGCAAACUUUAGUCACAUAUUGGAAAGUAAGCAACAAACUCUUGAAUGCACAGGAUUGGGCAAGAGUUUAUUUAUCUCAUGUUUAAUUGAGAAAUAUCCACUUAAAAUCAGUCUUUGAAAGGGACAGCGCUUUUAGGUUUUGGUAGCAUAGCAACCACGUGAUUUGCCCCCUCGGCUUAACCCCCCCAUCAGCCGCUGAGUACAAAACCCUGGCGUCCUGUUUGCUUUGCUCAGAGGCUGUUGACUUUAAUAAUACCAUUUUAAGGGCAACAAAGGUCAGGCGGCUCACCUGGUAUCACAAGUCGGUACGAGCACUACGGAGGUCCUCAGCUCACGUAGGAACAUGGAAGGUCCCCAUGGAGCCGGUGUGGGGAGACACUUACUUAAGAGACACAAUUAAGGGAUGAGUAGAGCAAAGACCACCACCACCACCACCACAAUGGACCCCUCAGCAGAUUUACCCCCGGAACAUCCCUUCCCUUCAAACACAUGACUUGUGCUUCUCAUGGAGGCAAAAAAAAAGCUGUAAGAGAAGAAAGCGACAGAAAAAAAACAACAAAAACAAAAAUCAGGAAGAAGCUGGAAAUGAGUCCAACUCAUGCAUAACUUCAAACACUCCAUCUUCAAAGUUGCAUAACAUUAAAAACCGAGUCCUCCACAUCAAAAACCAGCCGGCAUCGAGGGGACACUGCCGAGCUGUGGCCUCGCUCUGAGGCACCACAUGCACCCAGCCUCCUCUUCAUCUUCAUCCUUUGUCGUCCCUGGCUGUUGUCCUCGGGGUAUUUAUUGUGGGGGAAUAGAGCAUUGUGGGUAAGAGGAGGGGCCAGGUGUUAAUGCACAUAGUGACUUUCCGCCCUGAGAGGAAGCAGACACAACGCAGGGAUCCUCGGGAGUCCUUUUAGAUGUGGACCGUACAGGUGCACCUGGACCGUAUAGGUACACCAGGUGCAUAUGAACCGUACAGGUACACCAGGUGCAUAUGGACCGUACAGGUACACCAGGUGCAUAUGGACCGUACAGGUACAUAUGGGCCGCGGGCCUGUUGGUCAAUAUAAGAUGCAACGAAUAACAUUACCGCUUUUACCAUUGUUGUUAUUCUACUGUAUCCAACGAUGUCAUUCAUACGCAUUGAACGUGCUGUGUGAUCAUUCUAAUGCACGUGUGUCCGUCCUCGGGGAGGGAUCCCUGCCCUGUGGCUCUCCCUGUGGUUUCUUCCUCUCUUUUUUCCCUCGCUGGUAGUUUUUCCUGUGAUGGAAGGAGUCCAAGGACAGAGAAUGUUGCGUGUGACCAGAUUUGUAAAGCCCGUUGAGGAUCAUUUGUGAAUCAGGAUCUUGGGCUAUGCAAAAUAAAUCCAAUUAAAUUAUUUCCAUCAUGUUACAUUUUAGGUCACAUCUAUUUGUGUGUAGAAAUCUAUUAUGUCGAUAAUAAAGAGUAUAGAUCAGUGAAUCCCAACUGUUUGGUCUGAUGUACCCAACAGCCUUGCGAGAUGAAAACCAGUACGUGUUGUAUACAUACAUGCAUAUGCCAUACGUAAGCCUCCGCUGCAUACAUAUAGUAACCCAUCUAUUAUUUAUUCCAGCUGCUUUUGCUCAAUUUUAUUAUUCCUGGUUACAUCAGUUUAAAUUGUUUGUGUUAAAUUUGGACGAUGUACGAAUGUACAUAAGCGUUUAUUAUAGUUAUGUGUUACAUAGUUAUAAGCUCUGUUGUCCUUUCUCAGUGUAUGUCAUUGAAAUGUGUGCAAGUCUACAAAGAGGAACUAAUAUAUAAACACAAAUAUUACCAAUACAGCUUACUCAGCAGGAAUAUUUUGUGAUCAGGUUGUCAUCGAGAAAAGACGAGGGAACUUAAACCAGAAACCGAGCCGUGGUUAAAAAGAAAACACACACACACACACGUCGGUAAUUUUCCGUCUUGGCUUUUCCCCUUCUUUGUCACUUUCAAAUGCUCCUGACAAAUUCUCCAAUACACUGACAAACACAUACAAAAUCCCGCCCACGCGUUUAAACAGAAAAAAAGCUCUCGACGAGCGUACCUUUCCUCCCACAUAUGUUGACAUACGCUCAUGAACAAACUGGUAAUGUUCCAUCAAAGCUUAUAGCGCCCAUUAAAACUCAGAGACAAACAUGGAGGCACGCGCGUGGUUAACGCCCACGCGCUCUUCAGCGGCGUGCCUUUCCGUCACCACAAUUGCCGGUGACAAUCAUGUACCCCCUCAAUUACACCUGGCUAAUUGUUGAGAUGACACAUUACCAUAGAGACUCACAAAGACAGGUCACACACAAUAUAUAUAAAUACAUUCAUUAUUUCAGGGGAAACGUAUAGAACCACAGCUUUAUCUCAUAAUCAGAUAAUGAAUUAUUUAAGCUUCCCUAAGCAGGCUGCGUGAACCGAUGGAGAUAAAGUAGAAGUUAUCUUUUUUUUUUUUCUUUUUUUUUUACCUCAAACAUACACACACAUCUUGUGCACGGUACACAGCACACACUUUGCCUGAAGGAUUUUAAUUUGAGAUGCAGACUCCGGUGUCAUAGUGAAUGAUAUUAAAAGUCGUACCAUGAAUAAAUCAGGAGACAGAGGACUCACCUCAGCAAUGCGACGGAUAAGCAAAGAGAAACCGCACGCCGGAGGAGAGGGAGUGGUAGGGGUGGGGGGGGGGGGAGGGUCCAACGCUGACAGAGGAAAGGGCAAUAAAUAAAGACACUCGCAUUUUUAACAAUACACACUGCGCCGCUGUUCGGCGUAGGCCAUUAGUUUAUGGCACUUCUUAACAAGGCCGUAAUUACUUUACUGCUGGAUCCACGACGUACCUUCAUCCGUCUUCUGAUCGCUCAACAAUGCUGUUUCGCGGCGGUUUCCCCCGCAGGAGUUCGCGUUCACAACGGAGGCCCUCAUUUGUGACAAAUCACUCCGGCGCAAAACACAGAUUGAAAUUGACAAUUCGUCAAUUCGCCGUGUGGUUUGUGACAUGAGAAAGGAAAAAGCACAGCAGUGGCGGGACGUGCAUCCAGAAAUACUGAAGGGCCGAAAAUUCAUUCACUGAAAAAUCUCACUUGUUGGUGAACGACUCCAGAACCACAGCUGGCGGACGGGAGAGCAACGCGUCGGACUUUCAUGCAGGUGCUAUCCAGGUCAAUCAAGCGGAAAAGCAGCUAGCCUAGCAUCGCCGUACCAGGAGAAUAUUUCAGCAAUUUAAUAACGUCUUAAUAAAGACAUGGUGUGUUUUGCCUCGUUGCGUUCUGUAUAAGGCUCAUUUAAAACACGUUUGUCUUUAUGUGCACAUGUAGUGAAAUUCAGUUUUGGUUUCCAAUAUUUAAACUAUAAAGAAUAAAAAACACAAAGGAAAAGCAAUCGGAUCUCUGUUACUUUCACCACAAAUGUCACAUAUUUGUUGAAAGCAUAGUUGUGCAUUUUAAGUUCAUUUGUAUUAUUUCCAAGGGUUUGGUGAUCAGCACCGUGAGCAAGUCUGCAUGUUAAGUACAGAGCUUGGAGGUGAUUAGCCCACCUUAGUGAAGAAAAGCACCGAGUGCAGGGAGAGAAAGCUAAUUAGCUUUGUCCGGAUUUAGUCUCAUUCUCUACACAGAUGUGAGAUGUCGAUCUUUCCAUUUUCAAGCUACCGACACAAAGUAUGAAAUCUUAUUUGCCAAAACUAAUCAUUUAAAGCAGUAGCCAUCCUUCUAUUGGGCAGAAAAAAUAAAUCCCGGUACUUAAACAUUUCUGUUUUGAUUUGUUUGUGUUAUCAUGGUUCAAACUAUUUAUUUUAGUCCACUUUGGGGCAGUGAAAUAAAGUUGUAAAGACACAAUUGCUUUAGCUGCUGUGGCAGACUUAUUAGCAAAAAAAUCCUUUUAGCUCAUCGUCCACCGGCUCUAGAGGAAUAAUAUAUCUGGCCAUUUAGCCUCUAAAUGUGUCGGCCUGCAGAUUACACAUCUAAAGUUUAUAGUGGGUUGGUAGCUUUCCUCUGAAAAAUCAGUAACUGUAGACUUUGGUCUUUCAAAAGGUUUCAAAGCUUAACGAUUGGCUGGAAGAUGCAAAGAAGUCCCAACGUUGUCACUAUGUGUGACAUAUUUCACACACACAUCAUAUUUAGUUUGCUUGACAUAUUGAUUAAUGCAGUUUUCAGCCGUCAACCAGGUUGGCUCUUCCCCGUCCACGGCUGCAUGAACAAAAAGGUCUGUAAACCUAAAAUGUCUUUAUUUUACGUUUCCUCCACAGUCAUUCUUUUGUAUAUAUAUAUUAAAUAAAUUACCCAUUUGUUUCCCAUGAAUAGAUGAUCCUAACACGGCCUCAGGGACUCGCGGCCUCGGGAUGAAUCGAGUCCAAUGAUGCUCUGAACAUCCCCCACCCAUGAGACCCACCCAGAGCCAUUCAUGGGGGUCGGGGGGGACAAAUGAACACAGACAAAAGAGGGGAAAAUCAGCCCGCUUAUAUAUCUGUGGGUGGGAGGCCGCCCGGAUCUUGCAGCUUGGCCGAGAGGAGGGUCCACCACCGCAACCAGAGUCCCGUGUGUGUGUGUGUGUGUGUGUGUGUGUACAUGAAUAUGCAUGUUUGUGUAUGCGUCUGUGCUGCGGUUGCCUCUGAGGGGAGACGGCGGUGCUGUCGGCAGGUUAAUCCAGCCCUCAGGCUAAGCAUCAAAAUUUCAGAUCAGGGAAUCAAUAAUUCAGACAGCAGCUUGUCAGGAUCUAUCACGGAACACAGACUGAGAGGCAGCGAAGGCGCAGAGGUGAUUUACAGCCUCACACAGCCGACACACACGGGUGGAAAAAAAAACGGGAAAAAAUGGUGGACGCAGACUCGCCGCGUAAUUGCGCGCUCAAAUCGCGGCCAGGGAUACAGGCGCGGCACGCUCGGAGGGAAACAUGCGCGUACAC
ensembl:lncRNA